UCCAUCAGUUUUGAUAGAAUUUGCCCCAGAUGUAUUGAAUUCCAUAGAAUUAAAAUUGUGGUGUUUCAUAUAAUUCAUUUUGCAAGUGGCUUAUAAAAGAUUGCAAAUGAAUUUUUAUGCUUAUUGAAUUGUGUAAAAUUAAAAUUGUAGAAUUUAUGAAAUUUGUUUGUUCUGAACACUAUAUCAAACAAUUUAUAUUAAAGCAAUUGGAGAUUAAGCGGAUUAAAAUUCAUUCUUGAGAAUGUGUAUUUGAUUUAAAAUUUACAGGCUCUGAGUGAACAAAUUCUAGUCUAAAAUUGUAAUGACCUUUUAUUAGGGACAGGGGUGGGGGCAUGGGAAGUACAAGAGAAAGCUAUACCUUGAACCUAUGAACGUUACUUAAACCUCAUCCCUGUAACCUGAGUGUUACAUAUUAGCCUGCACAUUUACUAAAACAGAGGAAUAGGGA
rnacentral:misc_RNA from 1 species